CCUACGGGAGGCAGCAGUAGGGAAUCUUCCGCAAUGGACGAAAGUCUGACGGAGCAACGCCGCGUGAGCGAUGAAGGCCUUCGGGUCGUAAAGCUCUGUUGUUAGGGAAGAACAAGUAUCGUUCGAAUAGGGCGGUACCUUGACGGUACCUAACCAGAAAGCCACGGCUAACUACGUGCCAGCAGCCGCGGUAAUACGUAGGUGGCAAGCGUUGUCCGGAUUUAUUGGUCCGUAAAGCGCGCGCAGGCGGUCUUUUAAGUCUGAUGUGAAAUCUCGGGGCUCAACCCCGAGCGGGUCAUUGGAAACUGGGAGACUUGAGUGCAGAAGAGAAGAGCGGAAUUCCACGUGUACGGUGAAAUGCGUAGAGAUGUGGAGGAACACCAGUGGCGAAGGCCGGCUCUUUGGUCUGUAACUGACGCUGAGGCGCGUAAGCGUGGGGAGCGUACAGGAUUAGAUACCCUGGUAGUCCACGCCGUAAACGAUGAGUGCUAAGUGUUAGAGGGUUUCCGCCCUUUAGUGCUGCAAGCUAACCGCAUUAAGCACUCCGCCUGGGGAGUACGGCCGGCAAGGCUGAAACUCAAAGGAAUUGACGG
rnacentral:rRNA from 1 species